rnacentral:rRNA from 1 species
GACGAACGCUGGCGGCGUGCCUAAUACAUGCAAGUUGAGCGCUUAAGGUUGGUCCUUGUACCAACUGGAUGAGCAGCGAACGGGUGAGUAACGCGUGGGGAAUCUGCCUUUGAGCGGGGGACAACAUUUGGAAACGAAUGCUAAUACCGCAUAAAAACUUUAAACACAAGUUUUAAGUUUGAAAGAUGCAAUUGCAUCACUCAAAGAUGAUCCCGCGUUGUAUUAGCUAGUUGGUGAGGUAAAGGCUCACCAAGGCGAUGAUACAUAGCCGACCUGAGAGGGUGAUCGGCCACAUUGGGACUGAGACACGGCCCAAACUCCUACGGGAGGCAGCAGUAGGGAAUCUUCGGCAAUGGACGAAAGUCUGACCGAGCAACGCCGCGUGAGUGAAGAAGGUUGUCGGAUCGUAAAACUCUGUUGGUAGAGAAGAACGUUGGUGAGAGUGGAAAGCUCAUCAAGUGACGGUAACUACCCAGAAAGGGACGGCUAACUACGUG